ACUCCGGAGCAGCAGGGGGCGCUGUUGUGUCACCGAGCUGGAUAUCAUAGCCUUAACCUACAGUUCAUGAAAGGAAAAUAACGGAGUGUCUUGAAGCCUCAGAAAUUCUCAAAAAGCUGCCGAGUUGUUAAAGUCAACAAGUCUGCAUCUUUUCUGCGACUCUGCAUGGCGGCCGUUCACUUGCUGGGAUGGGACGAACAACAGGCCUACGAAGAGCUGCUGUACUGGGACAGCGUGAUCCAGCGGGGCCACCGGCUCCUGCCCGAGGACUAUGACAGGUAUGAAGAGCUGCGGUACUGGUAUGACUGUCUGUGUUACGAGGAGGACCUGCGGCACUAUCAUGAAUACGUCGCUUCAAUCGGGACCAUGGAGGAAAAACCACAGGUUGAGGAACCCGUCGCCCCCCCCAAACACAUCAGCGCCCACGACCGCAUCAUGAUGGCCAAACACUCUGAGGUGUAUCCGUCAGCAGAGGACCUGGAGGCCGUGCAGACCAUCGUUUCUCAUGUGGAGUGUGCUCUCAAGGCUGCGUCUGACCAGAUUGACGCGCCAAAGACUGACGGUGACCCCGCCAAGGCCGAGAGCACAAGCGCCGAUUCCAAAGACCGCGUCCUGCGUGGGGUCAUGAGGGUCGGCCUGGUCGCUAAAGGACUCCUCCUGAAGGGAGAUGCGGAACUGGAACUGGUCCUGCUGUGCUCCAACAAGCCCACCGUCACUCUCCUCAAACAAGUUGCUGAGAAACUGUUGGAGCAGCUGGAGAUCAUUUCUAAAGGAACAUACAAAGUAAACGAGUGUCCGCAGGAUGCAGCCAUCACCGUGACAAGCAACAGCGAGUCGGUCCUGAGUCUCAUCAUCCGCCUGACGUCGCCGCUCUUCAGGAUGGAGCAGACAGAAACGCAAAAAGUCGACGAUCCGCCGGACGUUCUGGACAGGCAGAAAUGCCUAACCGCCUUGGCGUCUCUCCGCCACGCCAAGUGCUUCCAGGCUAAAAUCUCCCAGCUGAAUUCUGCUCUGGUGGUGAUCCGGGUCACGAGGGAUCUGUGCUACCGCGUUCCUUCCUGGUCGCCGCUCUUAGGAUGGCCUCUGGAGCUCCUGGUGGAGAAGGCCAUCAGCACCUGUGAGAGGCAGAUGGGGGUGGGAGAGUCUUUCCGCCGGCUCUUGGAGUGCGUGGCCUCUGGAAUCCUCUUGGAGGAUGGCCCCGGGCUCAAAGACCCCUGUGAGAAGGAGGAGGUGGAUGCCGCUGCGGCUCUGACGGCGCAGCAGCGGGAAGACAUCACCAGCAGCGCUCAGCUUGCACUGAGGCUGUGCGCCUUUGGGCAGAUCCACAAGGUUCUGGGGAUGGACAGCAGACCCAAGGCUCGCAGACUGGGCUUCCUCAAAGAGAACACAGCCCAGAUCCGUCCAUCCGAGCACUUCAACCUUCCUGCCAAGAGGCCGCACGCCGAGGUGGAGAAGGGAGAGGAGGAGGUCCAGCUCAACAACAAGCAGAGGAAGUUCCUCAAGUUCCAGAAGCGCUUCCAGAGGAAGUCAUUCAACGAUGAUCUAAACAUGAAUGCUGUCAUGCGUCUGAACCAGUAUAAACCAGGCCUGGACUACAAACUGAUCUCCCAGACCGGGCCGGUCCACGAGCCGGUCUUCACGAUGACUGUGGAGCUGAACAAGAAGACCUACGAAGCUACGGGACCCUCCAAGAAAGCCGCCAAAGUUAACGUCGCCAUAAAGGUUCUUCAAGAUCUGGGUCUUCCAACAGGCCCGGACCCUAAAUCAGAGCCUGUUGAUGCGGAGGAUCAGAAAUCAGCCGGCGCCGCGGCUGCAUCCGGGCCGGAGGGAGCGGCCGCUCGAAACCCAUCGGAUGCGAGCGGGCAGGGUCCGAUCCUGACCAAAAACGGCAAGAACCCGGUGAUGGAGCUGAACGAAAAGCGCCGCAGCCUCAAGUAUGAGCUGUCGUCAGAAACGGGGGGCUCUCAUGAGAAAUGCUUCGUCAUGGAGGUGGAGGUUGAUGGGCAGAAGUUCAAAGGGAGGGGCUCCAACAAGAAGGAGGCAAAGGCGUACGCGGCGCUGGCUGCUCUGGAGAAGCUGUUCCCUGAGAAUGACGACGCCUCGAGCUUCUACAGAGGUGCCAUGAAGAAGAAGGUCACCUACACUGACAUGCACAUCCCGGGAUUUGGUACCAUCCGCGGCAUUCCCUCAGACUCGGGGUCCCGGGGCUGGGGACCAAACAGAGGGGGCCGAGGCCGGGGCCGCGGCAAACCCUUUAACUCGGGACCCAGCUACAACAAAACCAACUACAGCUACGAGGGUGGAGCCAGCUCGGGAUACCGUGAGUGUCCACUCUGUGCUGGGAUAAACUGUACGAUAACACUGGAGGGAAGACUGCAGAUGCUUCCAGCAGCACCAGCGGCUAUGGCACCUUUUACCCCGAGAGCAGUGCCACCCUCUCCGCCCCGCCCACCCCAGCCUCCAGCAUCAAAAAGACAGAAAGCUACCAGUCCAUGCCCCCUCCGGCUGACCAGCAGAGCCCGUACAGUUACGGCUACGGCGACGAGAAGAAGAAGAUGCUGAUCCAAGGUCCCGGCGAAGGCCAGACGGACUUCUCCAUGUUCAGCACGGCCUAUCCCAGCUCUGUGACCGGGGGACGGGGCUACAGCGGUCACGGCUGGGGGGAGCAGGCGUCCUGGGAGGGCCAGCAGGGCUUCACGUACCAGGGCUUCGGAGGGCGCGGCCGGGGCUCGCACGCAGGAUACAACACCUCAAACUUCUGAUGGCCCUCCCAGCCGUCACGGCGUCUGAAGCAGAGAGGCCGCCGUUUCCUCUUCGGUUCAGUUCACAAACUAGAAGUCUGACUUUCACGUCCAUGUUGGAAGAGUAAACUCGCAUUGCUUUUUUGUUUUUAAUCUCCUGUAGUGGUUCUGUAGCAGAAUGUUCUGGAGUUCUGACCUGCUUGUUGUUUGGAAGUUUUGUUUCAUUAAAGGUCCUCUCGUCUUUCUUUAAGGAAAA